rnacentral:misc_RNA from 1 species
CUUAUUAAUUUAUUAUUUCAUAUAGAAUAUAUUAUACAGAAUCACUGCUAUAAGACUAUGAAAUCUGAUUACUACGUUGUAUUAAACGACAUUGUCUGUCGUAACAAAGUGUUUUUUAUGGGAUCAGAAAGAACACAGCAUUAGCAAAUCAGAACCGUUCAUUUUUUCUUUGAGACUAAAUCAUGCCGGUCUAUCACCCUGCCAAAUUCGCAAUGCGCUUUCACUCGCAUUCCUUACCCACGCUCCUAGUGCCGCGUAUUCCUCAAACGCCCUAACAUCAAUCCUGCACUCCAUGAACUUUGGAAAAAACAGCCAAAACGCUGUCGUCAUGACGAACCCAACUGUCAAGAUUCCAGACAAUAACCCCGGCAGUUGCCACUUGUCUUUUAUCAUCUUCUUUAGAGCAAUCUCCGCGGUUAAACAGAAUCCAUGUAGAAUAAAGAACGCAGUGAUGUCCCACGUGGGUCUCACGCGCCCCAGGUAGUAGAACAUGAGCUCGUGCAUUACUGCUGACACCACAAAUGUUCCGAAAACAGCUGGGAGCGUU